UCACGGAUUAGCCACAGAUAUUGCAUAACUUUCUCCAAAUAUAAGAUUGAUAUUUUACGGUUUUACGUCAUGCAGCAGCACCCCUCGGUCUGUGGCUUGGGAAAUCGUUUGUGAAAUCUAAAGGGAAACCGAAAACACCUUAACCCUUAGACAUUUUGUAUUUAUAAUUUAAGAUUUAUAACUCAGUUUUCUACAAUAGGAUUUGAGGGUCCUGGCUGGAUUGUGAUCGCCCGUCGCACCGACAAAGAGCAGCUCUUCUUCCGCGACUGGCUGGACUGGUACAAAAACGGAUUCGGAUGAAGAAAUGAAGGCACCCUUCACUGGAGAUGCAGGUGAUUCGCUAUAUUCAAGCAGGGAUCAGAUAUUUACCACCUACGACAGGGACAACGAUUGCAAUCCGAGGCCUAAUUGUGCAGUGGAUCGCAUGGGGGUCUCGUUGCACAAAGAUUGUACGGAUAUCCGGUAACCUUUUCGGCAUGUAUGUGAAUGGUUGGGUAACCAGCAUGGCUGGUAAGGGAAUAUAUUGGAAGACCUGUGGCUGGUUAAGAUAUUGAUAUAAAGUAAUGCAAAUGAUGGUCCGUCCAAAGUGAAAAGAAUACAAUAUAUAUUCAACUGCAACGUAUUCCUCUACUUGUAUUCUUGAAAUCUAAGUCUGACUCUUUUCUAAAUAUAUAUUCCGUUCAAUGCAUGUUCUGUAUUCUUUCGAGUAAGUCAAGGUAUUAAGCAGGCAAAGCAAUCAUAGCUCUGACAAUAUCUAAUAAAGCUGGAUAUUGACCCCAGAAACCGCCAGUCUGCUCCAUCUAUUGUCGUUUAAACGAACUAACUGCUAUUUCUUCGACUAGAGACAUCUGUCGCCUAUUAUGUGUCGCCCCCUAUUUUUUAAUUUCAAAUAUCGCUUGAUAAAUGUGAUGUAUCGAUAGUUUGCAGUGCCUUAUCGAUAGUACGCUGACAAGGAAUUAAAACCAAAACAAACAAAUAACCCAAAUAACAAAUAAAUAAGAAGUCAAGCCCGAUGGAAACACUGAAAGGCAUUCUACUUGGUUAUGGAAAUUGAAAGUCCACCAAUAUAUUCCCCUGAGGCAACUCCGCCGAGGUUGCUGGCAUCUGGCUAUCCCGUUGAUAAAACAGCAGUCAAGUUUUUAGCGGAGUAUAGUCCGGUCAAACAGUCCAAGAGCUCAAGAGGCAUCGGGAUCCGUGGACGUCGGACCAGACAGCUCGCCUACUUGCAGGAAGUUCAACGUUUUUUCACAUAGCUAAAGUAUCUGAGAUCUAGUUAUAUUGAACUUUGCCAUUCUGUAAAGCCGAAAAAGGCAGCUGUAAAUCGGACCCAAGCACUUUAUAGCUUCCGCUUACUUUCUGGAAAAUAUUAAGCUUUCCAACUACAAAUUGAGAAUUUAUUAUAAAUGAAUUUUUUCCGAAGCGUUUUCUAUUUUUCUGGUGCUAUAGGUACGUUAAUUAUUCAAAAAAAGUCUGCAAUUACACUACUCAAUACGACAUUCCCGAUGUGAACCAAACCAACUUUUUCUAA